AUGAGUCGACCUGAUGGGAUCAACAUCCCCAACGACAAGUUCUACCUUGGAGAUGCUGGCUAUGCAUGUCGGCCGGGUAUUCUUCCACCCUCCAGGAAAACAAGGUACCAUCUCAAUGAGUUCUCUGGUAGGAACUUUCCUAGGACUGCACAGGAGCUGUUUAAUCUCAGACACUCCAGCCUUAGAGUAACUGUUGAGAGGGCAUUUGGAGCUCUGAAGAAUAGGUUUAAGAUCCUAGAUCAGAAGCCAUUCCACCCAUACUCCACUCAAGUUAAGCUAGUUCUUGCUUGUUGCAUUAUGCAUAACUGGAUCCUCCACUGGGGCUUUGAUGAACACGUGCCUGAGGAGGAAGAGGUCGAGCCUGACGAUGUUGUUAGCUCUGGCCAUGGUGUGGAGGCAUUUGACAAUGACGCUUGGAAGAACAAAAUGUUGGAGUGGGCAGAGACAAUGUGGCUUAACAGAGGUCAGUGCAGGAUUUGA
rnacentral:rRNA from 1 species